rnacentral:tRNA from 1 species
GCUUGUGUGGUGGAGUGGUCUAACACGUGCGACUCAAGUUCGCAUCUCUUCGGAGGCGCAGGUUCGAACCCUGCCGCAAGCA